GAUGAGCUCGCGUCUGAUUAGCUAGUAGGUGUGGUAAAAGCGCACCUAGGCGACGAUCAGUAACUGGUCUGAGAGGAUGACCAGUCACACUGGAACUGAGACACGGUCCAGACUCCUACGGGAGGCAGCAGUGGGGAAUUUUCCGCAAUGGGCGAAAGCCUGACGGAGCAAUACCGCGUGAGGGAGGAAGGCUCUUGGGUUGUAAACCUCUUUUCUCAAGGAAUAACUCAAUGAAGGUACUUGAGGAAUAAGCAUCGGCUAACUCCGUGCCAGCAGCCGCGGUAAUACGGAGGAUGCAAGCGUUAUCCGGAAUGAUUGGGCGUACAGCGUCCGCAGGUGGUGUUGUAAGUCUGUUGUUAAAGCGUGCGGCUUAACCGCAUACAGGCGAUGGAGACUACAAAACUAGAGUGCGUUAGGUGUAGAGGGAAUUCCUGGUGUAGCGGUGAAAUGCGUAGA
rnacentral:rRNA from 1 species